rnacentral:rRNA from 1 species
GUAGGGAAUAUUGGGCAAUGGAUGCAAGUCUGACCCAGCCAUCCCGCGUGCCGGAAGAAGGCCCUCAGGGUUGUAAACGGCUUUUGACGGUGAAGAAUCGACAGGAUGCGUCCUGUUUUGACGGUAGCCGUUGAAUAAGCACCGGCUAACUCCGUGCCAGCAGCCGCGGUAAUACGGAGGGUGCGAGCGUUGUCCGGAUUUAUUGGGUUUAAAGGGUGCGUAGGAUGGAAGGUCAGUCAGCGGUGAAAAGCUGUCGCUGAACGAUAGUCUUGCCGCAGAUACUUCCUUUCUUGGAUGAGGAGGAGGCCACUGGAACGGAUGGUGUAGCGGUGAAAUGCAUAGAUAUCAUCCAGAACACCGAUUGCGAAGGCAGGUGGCUGUACCUUAAUCGACGCUGAUGCACGAAAGCAUGGGGAGCAAACAGGAUUAGAAACCCGUGUAGUCC